rnacentral:rRNA from 1 species
CAGCAGCCACGGGAAUACAGAGGGUGCGAGCGUUAAUCGGAUUUACUGGGCGUAAAGCGUGCGUAGGCGGCUUCUUAAGUCGGAUGUGAAAUCCCUGAGCUUAACUUAGAAAUUGCAUUCGAUACUGGGAAGCUAGAGUAUGGGAGAGGAUGGUAGAAUUCCAGGUGUAGCGGUGAAAUGCGUAGAGAUCUGGAGGAAUACCGAUGGCGAAGGCAGCCAUCUGGCCUAAUACUGACGCUGAGGUACGAAAGCAUGGGGAGCAAACAGGAUUAGAUACCCCGGUAGUCCCUGUCUCUUAUAA